GCAUGGUUCAAACAUAAAAGGUGGCUUCGGCUACCACUUACAGAUGGACCCGCGGCGCAUUAGCUAGUUGGUGAGGUAACGGCUCACCAAGGCAACGAUGCGUAGCCGACCUGAGAGGGUGAUCGGCCACACUGGGACUGAGACACGGCCCAGACUCCUACGGGAGGCAGCAGUAGGGAAUCUUCCGCAAUGGACGAAAGUCUGACGGAGCAACGCCGCGUGAGUGAUGAAGGUUUUCGGAUCGUAAAGCUCUGUUGUUAGGGAAGAACAAGUACCGUUCGAAUAGGGCGGUACCUUGACGGUACCUAACCAGAAAGCCACGGCUAACUACGUGCCAGCAGCCGCGGUAAUACGUAGGUGGCAAGCGUUGUCCGGAAUUAUUGGGCGUAAAGGGCUCGCAGGCGGUUUCUUAAGUCUGAUGUGAAAGCCCCCGGCUCAACCGGGGAGGGUCAUUGGAAACUGGGGAACUUGAGUGCAGAAGAGGAGAGUGGAAUUCCACGUGUAGCGGUGANAUNNGUAGAGAUGUGGAGGAACA
rnacentral:rRNA from 1 species